GAUGAACGCUGGCGGCGUGCCUAAUACAUGCAAGUCGAGCGAAUGGAUUAAGAGCUUGCUCUUAUGAAGUUAGCGGCGGACGGGUGAGUAACACGUGGGUAACCUGCCCAUAAGACUGGGAUAACUCCGGGAAACCGGGGCUAAUACCGGAUAACAUUUUGAACCGCAUGGUUCGAAAUUGAAAGGCGGCUUCGGCUGUCACUUAUGGAUGGACCCGCGUCGCAUUAGCUAGUUGGUGAGGUAACGGCUCACCAAGGCAACGAUGCGUAGCCGACCUGGGAGGGUGAUCGGCCACACUGGGGAUGAGACACGGCACAGACUCCUACGGGAGGCAGCAGUAGGGAAUCUUCCGCAAUGGACGAAAGGCUGACGGAGCAACGCCGCGUGAGUGACGAAGGCUUUCGGGUCGUAAAACUCUGUUGUUAGGGAAGAACAAGUGCUAGUUGAAUAAGCUGGCACCUUGACGGUACCUAACCAGAAAGCCACGGCUAACUACGUGCCAGCCGCCGCAGUAA
rnacentral:rRNA from 1 species